GCAAACUUGGUCAUUUAGAGGAAGUAAAAGUCGUAACAAGGUUUCCGUAGGUGAACCUGCGGAAGGAUCAUUAACAGUUGUCCACCUUCAUGGAUAAUUUUAUCCAUAUCCACCUUGUGUGAAUCACUGAAGUGUUUGUUGGCAGGCUAGGAUCUUUGGAUUUCGUGAGCUUGUGCUCGGCCUGCCAAUUUUAUUACGUUUAAACUUGUCUAUAUAUUUUUGGCUGAAAUUGUAUAUAUUUUAUAACUAAUACAACUUUCAACAACGGAUCUCUUGGCUCUCGCAUCGAUGAAGAACGCAGC
rnacentral:misc_RNA from 1 species